rnacentral:rRNA from 1 species
AGAGUUGAUCCUGGCUCAGAUUGAACGCUGGCGGUAGGCUUAACACAUGCAAGUCGAGCGGUAACAGGCAUUUUGAUUCAGCUUGCUGAAUCUCGCGCUGACGAGCGGCGGACGGGUGAGUAACGCGUAGGAAUCUACAUAGUAGAAGGGGAUAGCCCGGGGAAACUCGGAUUAAUACCGUAUACGUCCUUAGGGAGAAAGAGGGCUUAGCUUAGAUGCUCUCGCUAUUAGAUGAGCCUGCGUAAGAUUAGCUUGUUGGUGAGGUAAAGGCUCACCAAGGCUACGAUCUUUAGCUGGUCUGAGAGGACGAUCAGCCACAUUGGGACUGAGACACGGCCCAGACUCCUACGGGAGGCAGCAGUGGGGAAUAUUGGACAAUGGGCGCAAGCCUGAUCCAGCCAUACCGCGUGUGUGAAGAAGGCCUUCGGGUUGUAAAGCACUUUAAGUAAGGAAGAAAAGUAUAUUGUUAAUACCAAUGUACCGUGACAUUACUUACAGAAUAAGGACCGGCUAAUUCCGUGCCAGCAGCCGCGGUAAUACGGAAGGUCCAAGCGUUAAUCGGAAUUACUGGGCGUAAAGCGCGCGUAGGUGGUUUAUUAAGUUGGGUGUGAAAGCCCCGGGCUCAACCUGGGAACUGCAUCCAAAACUGAUUCACUAGAGUACGAAAGAGGGAGGUAGAAUUCACAGUGUAGCGGUGGAAUGCGUAGAUAUUGUGAAGAAUACCAAUGGCGAAGGCAGCCUCCUGGUUCUGUACUGACACUGAGGUGCGAAAGCGUGGGUAGCGAACAGGAUUAGAUACCCUGGUAGUCCACGCCGUAAACGAUGACAACCAGCUGUUGGGAAGCAAUGCUUUUCAGUGGCGCAGCUAACGUCUUAAGUUGUCCGCCUGGGGAGUACGGCCGCAAGGUUAAAACUCAAAGGAAUUGACGG